rnacentral:tRNA from 1 species
CCUUAAAGGGAGACCUAAUUCAGGUAUGGGAUGAAAAAAAAGUAGUCCCAACCAAGAAUCAAUCCCAAAAGGUCGGAGCGAGGCAAAAUUGGCUUUCAAACUAGGUUCUGGGUUCACACAAGACCUGAAUCAGGAACAAGGGCUAUUAGCUCAGGUGGUUAGAGCGCACCCCUGAUAAGGGUGAGGUCCCUGGUUCGAGUCCAGGAUGGCCCACCUGCACAGGUGGCCAAAACAAAGAAAAAAAGCUCCGAAUCAGCACCUUAUCUUACUUAUAUAGUAAGAGAGAAUGCUGGCUCUGAGUACAGAGUCCAGAGGAACCUUGAAAACUGCAUAGAGCUAGGUGAAAAAGCCAAAAAAGAAGACCGCCAGGUC